AGAGCGAACGCUGGCGGCAGGCCUAAUACAUGCAAGUCGAACGGAUCCUUCGGGAUUAGUGGCGGACGGGUGAGUAACACGUGGGAACGUGCCCUUUGGUUCGGAACAACUCAGGGAAACUUGAGCUAAUACCGGAUGUGCCCUUCGGGGGAAAGAUUUAUCGCCAUUGGAGCGGCCCGCGUCUGAUUAGCUUGUUGGUGGGGUAAAGGCCCACCAAGGCUACGAUCAGUAGCUGGUCUGAGAGGAUGAUCAGCCACACUGGGACUGAGACACGGCCCAGACUCCUACGGGAGGCAGCAGUAGGGAAUCUUGCGCAAUGGGCGAAAGCCUGACGCAGCCAUGCCGCGUGAAUGAUGAAGGUCUUAGGAUUGUAAAAUUCUUUCAGCGGGGACGAUAAUGACGGUACCGCAGAAGAAGCUCCGGCUAACUUCGUGCCAGCAGCCGC
rnacentral:rRNA from 1 species